AGCUUUGUUCUCUGUAGAGUUCUAAAGAUACCGUGCUAGGUUUAAGCAAACAAAAAUCAUGUUUUCAAGUUUUGUGACUAUCUAAAGGUUAGCCCUUUAGAUACUGAGUUUUAGAUGUGUCAAACAGAUGGCGUGAUGAUUGUAAGUUAUGGGCUAAUGGCGGUUCGUUGUCAAAAGUUUAGCUUUAGCUAUUUUCUUCGUAAAUUACCAAUUAAUUUGAGAAAACGUGAAAGAGGCUUGCAGGCUACUGUCAACUUUUUUUGCCAAAAUCAUUGUAUGCCUGCUGAAUAUGUCAAAUGAUACAGCAUACAGGAUUCAACACAAUUAUCGGCUGAUUUUCAUUGGACUCGCUAGAUCACCAUAACCCCAGUUUGGAGUUUGGACCAAUGUUGGCUGUAGCAACAUCUUUUUCUAACAAAUUUACAUUGGCAGUGUUGUGAGAAAGCUGUGACCAAAGUAAUUUUCUCUGGACUCAUUCCGUCUAUUGGAGACCUUGAGAAUGGGAACUACUACAUCUACUGGGGAAACCUGAUUGGUGUCAACUCAUCAUGUGUAAUAGCCAAGAGGUGAACAUGGAAAGUGGGUUGGCAUCUCUACAACAUCAAUUUGGCGUUGACUUCUCUACAACAUCAACUUGGCGUUGACUCUACGAUAUCAAUUUGGCGGUGACAUCCGACAUGUGCUUCGCAGAUCAUCUAUUGUUAUUGGUAUGAUGUUUUGUUAGUUAACCCGUUGUCUGCCACGCCUUUGUUCUCCCCUAGCUCCUUAGCACGGGCCGCGCUGUUCGGUCUCGUG